CCUACGGGAGGCAGCAGUGAGGAAUAUUGGUCAAUGGACGGAAGUCUGAACCAGCCAUGCCGCGUGCAGGAAGACGGCUCUAUGAGUUGUAAACUGCGUUUGUACAAGGGUAAAGCGGAAGACGUGUAUUCAGCAGAAAGUACUGUACGAAGAAGGAGCGGCUAACUCCGUGCCAGCAGCCGCGGUAAUACGGAGGAUCCAAGCGUUAACCGGAUUUAUUGGGUUUAAAGGGUGCGUAGGCGGAUUGAUAAGUGAGAGGUGAAAUCUCCGUGCUUAACUCGUGAACUGCCUCUAAUACUGUUGCUCUAGAGCGUAGAUGCGGUAGGCGGAAUGUCUGGUGUAGCGGUGAAAUGCUU
rnacentral:rRNA from 1 species